ACGUAGGAGGCGAGCGUUAUCCGGAUUUACUGGGUGUAAAGCGCGUGCAGGCGGUUUAGCAAGUCGUGCGUGAAAGCGCUCUGGCUCAACCGGGCGAGGACGUGCGAGACUGUGGUUCUGGAGGCAGGCAGAGGCAGGUGGAAUUCCGGGUGUAGUGGUGAAAUGCGUAGAGAUCCGGAGGAACCCCGGUGGCGAAGGCGACUUGCUGGGCCUGAACUGACGCUCAGACGCGAAAGCAUGGGGAGCGAACGG
rnacentral:rRNA from 1 species